rnacentral:rRNA from 1 species
CCCGCUGAACUUAAGCAUAUUAUUAAGCGGAGGAAAAGAAACUAACAAGGAUGCCCUCAGUAACGGCGAGUGAAGCGGGCAAAGCUCAACCUGAAAAUCGGGUUUCCAAACGGGAUCUCGAAUUGUGGGCUACAGACGGCUGGUCAGUGUGUGACCCGGGUAUAAGUGUGCUUGGAAUACGCUAUCACAGAGGGUGAUAAUCCCGUUCGUGACCCGGAGUUCGCCGCGUACGACCGCUGUUCGCAGAGUCGCGUUGUUUGGGAUUGCAGCGCUAAAUGGGUGGUAAAUUUCAUCUAAAGCUAAAUAUCGACGAGAGACCGAUAGCGAACAAGUACCGUGAGGGAAAGAUGAAAAGAACUUUGAAAAGAGAGUUAAAAAGUACUUGAAAUUGCUAAGAGGGAAGCACUGGAAACCAGUUAUUUAUACACGUAUUUUUAAUGUCCGCUCCUGGAUUCUGUUCGGUUCGGUGAGCCUAAAGCCACCCUCAGUUCAGAUGAAAAUGUGGGCAUGUCGUGCGUGUAUAAUCAUCAAGAUCUAUUCGUUUUCGAACGAGAAAGCUUUCGCAACGGUAGGCGCCAGGUAGCAAUAUCUGUGUGCUGUUUAGUGUGAGAGUCCUAGUUUGGAAUGGAUAGAGGAACAAUUUUAGACGCGCACCACUAGGUUAGCGGGUCCUGUUCCCUGGUCGCUCAAGGAGAUUGGACAACAAAGUUGUGCGUUUCCUGAAGGCUACUACUGGUUCGGGUCACUCAGCAGCAGCGUCGUGAUCUUGAUAAAAUGGUUUUCAUUGACCCGUCUUGAAACACGG